rnacentral:lncRNA from 1 species
UUUCACUUGUUAGGGUCACAGAAUUAACUGUAUUCUAAACCAAUAAAACACUAAGAAAUACUACAAUGCUUCCUCCUAAUAACAAUACUCCUUCAUCAACUGAUAACCACAAUGUGCAACCCUGCACUCUCAAAAGACCACUCAAAAUCCAAUAAAUUCCAUCCAAUACUAGGAAUAACAAACUUCACUCCAACCAAUCUCAAUUCACAGAAUUCUUCUAAUUAUAGACUUCCUCUGUCAAAACACACAUACACAACUCUCAAUAAACAACAAUCAUAAUCGUCCAUGCAUAAUAAAUUUUUCAAUAACUUCUCAUAUAAUUCUAUUACUCAGUACUCCAAUUACCUAAUCAAUAACUCAUAAAUCAAUCUCUGAUUUAUUCUUUAGACUCACUUCUCAGUAUUCAAAAACAAUCAAUUAUUCUUCAACAACAAAGAAAACAAAAGGAACAAAGAGGAAGCACCAAGCUUAAACCCGGCUCAUGACUAUCA